UUGGCAUUUCUGGCUUGGCGGUCCUCCUUUCGCAGAUUGGAAACCGCGGGCUAUCCUGCUGGGAGGUUGUGGCCGAGGCAGUAGCUCGCUACUGAUGGCCUCCUGGGGUGGAGAAAAGCGGGGAGGGGCUGAGGGGUCUCCGAAGCUGGCAGUCUACGCCACGAGGAAGACCCGUAGCGUCAGGAGCCAGGAGGACCAGUGGUACUUGGGCUACCCGGGGGACCAGUGGUCUUCGGGCUUCUCCUACAGCUGGUGGAAAAAUAGCGUCGGCAGCGAGAGCAAGCACGGUGAGGGCGCCUUAGACCAGCCCCAGCACGACGUCCGCCUGGAAGAUCUUGGCGAGCUCCACAGAGCUGCCCGGUCGGGCGACGUCCCUGGGGUGGAGCACGUCUUGGCUCCUGGAGACACUGGCGUGGACAAGAGGGAUAGGAAGAAGAGCAUUCAGCAACUAGUUCCUGAAUAUAAGGAAAAACAGACACCUGAAAGUCUUCCUCAAAAUAACAAUCCAGAAUACAGACAUUUAAAAAUACUGUUGGGGCCAGCACAGUGGUGCAUGCCUGUAAUCUCAUCACUUUGGGAGGCUGAGAUGGGAGGAUCACUUGAGCCCAGAAGUUCGAGACCAGCCCAGGCAACAUGACAAGACCUCAUCUCUACUAAAUUUUUUAAAAAACAAUAAAACAUUAGCUGGG
rnacentral:lncRNA from 1 species